rnacentral:rRNA from 1 species
AUGACUAAGAAAGGAAUGGAUGUACCUCCAUUUGCAACAGAAGAACAUUCCCCGCUUAAGGACCUAAGGGACAUAGCUAUGGAUGGGAGUGCAAAUCUCAAGGAUAAUCAAACCAAUAAUCCUAAAAGGAAAAGUGUUCAAUCAUCGUAUGGUAGAAUGUACAUGUGUGACCUCUACGGCCUCAAUCUCUGCAAAUACACCUCAAAUGCACACUUCAGAUACAUGUGUGACCUCUGCAGCCCCAAUCUCUGCAAAUACACCUCAAACCCCAGCUUCAGCAGCCAACAACAAAUAGGAGCAUCCGCCAACAAACAAGGUGGGAAAACAUGGUAUGCCAACCUAAGCGACGAAAAGAAGGCUGGGCACCUAAGGAAGCUCCGGAUGGCUCGCGAACAGAAGAGAACCGCAACUCUUGUUCUGAAUGUUGAUGUACCUCAAUCAUCCACGCAGCAAGGAAAUGGCAUCCAACGUGUUUGUACAUCAAUUGCCGACUUUACCUAUAGAUCAACAGUGGUUGGGAGUGCUUCUAAUUGUGGUUACAACAGCGAGGUAAAUCAAUACGUCAUCAAUAAUUGGCAUAUUCUUGCAGCAUAUGAAGUUCAAAUAGAGGUAGAAUCAAAACGGUACAAGUACUCUCAUGCCAUUUGUCGUGUAUAA